GACGAACGCUGGCGGCGUGCUUAACACAUGCCAGUCGAACGGAAAGGCCUCUUUCGGGGGGUACUCGAGUGGCGAACGGGUGAGUAACACGUGAGUAACCUGCCCUUGACUUUGGGAUAACUUCAGGAAACUGGGGCUAAUACCGGAUAGGAGCUCCUGCUGCAUGGUGGGGGUUGGAAAGUUUCGGCGGUUGGGGAUGGACUCGCGGCUUAUCAGCUUGUUGGUGGGGUAGUGGCUUACCAAGGCUUUGACGGGUAGCCGGCCUGAGAGGGUGACCGGCCACAUUGGGACUGAGAUACGGCCCAGACUCCUACGGGAGGCAGCAGUGGGGAAGAUUGCACAAGGGGUGGAAGCCUGAUGCAGCAACGCCGUGUGCGGGAUGACGGCCUUCGGGUUGUAAACCGCUUUCGCUCAUGACGAAGCUUUGUGUGACGGUAGUGGGUAAAGAAGCACCGGCUAACUACGUG
rnacentral:rRNA from 1 species